AAGUCGUAACAAGGUUUCCGUAGGUGAACCUGCGGAAGGAUCAUUAACGAGUUUUGAAAGGGGUUGUCGCUGGCCUUUCACGAGGCAUGUGCACACCCUGCUCAUCCACUCUCAACCUCUGUGCACUUAUUGUAGGUCGGUGGAAGGCUCGCAAGAGCUGGAAGCUUGCUUAUGUUUUACUACAAACGCUUCAGUUAUAGAAUGUUUACUUGCGUAUAACGCAUUUAUAUACAACUUUCAGCAACGGAUCUCUUGGCUCUC
rnacentral:misc_RNA from 1 species